AGCAAGGAAGCUUCCACACCAACUCCUCUACCCUCACUAAGGCCAAUAAAUGGCCAAGGAAGGGCAUUUACCUGGGAAUCUAGAGGUCUUUGUUCAAAUGAUGACUUCAUCAUUUCUUAAGUUCAAGCCAUUAUUGUGGUUAUUCAUCUGUCAGUUUUGAAGAGAACCAGUGGCAUCAGAGGUGUGGUCUUAACUUACCAACCAACUGGAUUUACGUGGAGCAGAGUUGCAGAGACAGAAGCCUCACUCUCUCUUCCAGACCUGGAAAUCUAGUAGGAAGACAAAAGUCAGGAUCAGUGAUGGCCCUGGGAUGAAGCAGAUGAGAAUGAGAUGAGAUGAGAGCUUCUUCCACGUCUGACCAAGCUCUAGACUCUCCAUAGUUCCUGCUUCAGCCACCAUCAACUGCUCUCAUCUACCUAUUCCACAGGCCAUCAUUUCUCUCCCCUGGACUUUUGCCAAAGCCUCCCUAACUUCUCUCUCUCUCACUGGUCUGUAGCCCCUCAAAUCAUCUUACCCACACCUGGAAUAUUGAUGAGCCCUACAUGGCUCUCAUUAUAUCAUUCCACUAUACAAAAACAUUUGAAGGUGUAGUUCUUUUCUUAAAAGCCCAGAAACUCGCCCCAAGAUUUGGUUGGCUUAGGGGCUAAAUAACCUAACUCUUAAUGCAGUUCUGGUGGUCUCAGACUAUACUGUUAAAGCUUCUUGGUUAUCUAGGGGCAUAAAGAGACUGUCUUAAUGGAGCCAAAGCCCUUCAUAUGUGUCGGCUUGCCCCAAAGCCUCAUGAGUUAUAUAUAAUACUCUGCCCUCCAUUUCAAUAUAGGGGGAAGAGAAGCUGUCUACUCAAGCAAAGUGCUACAAUAUAUUGGAAUAUUCUUUCUAUCCUAUAUCUAAAUUACAAUCUUUUUAUUUCUAUUAAA